rnacentral:rRNA from 1 species
UACGUAGGGUGCAAGCGUUAAUCGGAAUUACUGGGCGUAAAGCGUGCGCAGGCGGUUCGCUAAGACAGAUGUGAAAUCCCCGGGCUUAACCUGGGAACUGCAUUUGUGACUGGCGGGCUAGAGUAUGGCAGAGGGGGUAGGAAUUCCACGUGUAGCAGUGAAAUGCGUAGAGAUGUGGAGGAAUACCGAUGGCGAAGGCAGCCCCUGGGCCAAUACUGACGCUCAUGCACGAAAGCGUGGGGAGCAAACAGG